ACCGCUUCUCAGCCUUUGGCUAAGAUCAAGUGUAGUAUCUACUAAGUGUAAUCAAUGAGAUUUUGUUGUAUAAAUAGUAUAUGUCACGUGGUAAUAUGUAAUAAGAUUGUAAUUAGUAAUGGAGUUCAAUGCAAACAGUCAUGAGUCUGAGUCAACCUUCAGUUCAGAAGAGUUCAGUCUCUAACACU